rnacentral:rRNA from 1 species
UACGGGGGGGGCAAGCGUUGUUCGGAAUUACUGGGCGUAAAGGGCUCGUAGGCGGCCAACUAAGUCGGGUGUGAAAUCUCAGAGCUCAACUCUGAAACUGCACUCGAUACUGCUUUGCUUGAGGACUGGAGAGGAGAUUGGAAUUCACGGUGUAGCAGUGAAAUGCGUAGAUAUCGUGAGGAAGACCAGUGGCGAAGGCGGAUCUCUGGACAGUUCCUGACGCUGAGGCGCGAAGGCCAGGGGAGCAAACGGG